rnacentral:rRNA from 1 species
GAUGCAGAAUUCAGUGAAUCAUCGAAUCUUUGAACGCACCUUGCGCUCCUUGGUAUUCCGAGGAGCAUGCCUGUUUGAGUGUCAUU